rnacentral:rRNA from 1 species
CCCUACGGGGUGCAUUUUUCGGGACCAGCUUUGUCGCAGUAGAUGUCCCAGACGUCGGUAUCCGGAUUGGCGUUUCCGUAGCCGAUGGCUUUGGCUGUGUCGAUGACGGAUCCGCCUCCGACGGCCAAAAGGAAAUCCGCGCCCUCCUUUUUCGCCAGCGCGACGCCUUCGUAAACCUUCGACAGACGGGGAUUCGGAAGGAUGCCGGUAAGCGAAAUAUACGGGAGGGCAUUCUUUGAAAGGGAGCUGCGGAUGCGGUCAAGAAGUCCGGAUUUCUCGGCGGAGCCGCCCCCGCUGACGAUGAGGACCUUCGUACCUCCGAAGGAGCGGAUCAGCUUUCCGGUUUGGUCUUCCGUAUCUUUUCCGAAGACGAUUUUUGUCGGGGUAUAGGAAGUGAAAUUUUCCAUGAGAAUGCCUUCUUUGUGGGAGACGUUACUUUGAUUUUAACAUUUACAGGCGGGAGGGC